AGUGAGAGUGAUGAGUUGCACUGAUCAGUUGGGGUGUGUGACGCAGUGGUGUCUACACUUCAAUCUGACUCCUUGUGAGGACAUAGAAUGUGCACAGGGGCCAUCUGACUCAAA